AGACAUUUAUUCAUUCAACAGAUAUUUAUUAAACGCUCGUUGCCAGUCGCUGGGAUCGAGUAGAGAGCAAAACAUAUUCCUGCCCUCGGGGAGCUUCCUGUCGGGUUCACAGACACACACGCACGCACAGGGACUCAGAGCCCCAGAGACACACACCGAGGCACCCACAGACACGAGCUAACUCCCAGCUUCAGUCACACCACUGACCCUCCCAGAGACACGAACCUCCGCUCCAGCCCCGCGGGUGCGCUUAGAGACCCACGAGAGUUAGAGACCCGCAACCACGAGGUGCUCACGAACACCAGUUACACUUGACCUCUAGGCACGCACACAGACACACAAGGGAAUCUCGGAGGGCUGCCGGGACGAAGAGGCUACAUCUACACAGGGCGGUGUAGGGGAAGCCCGUCUCUUCGACCUCCGUGCCUGGGAGUAGGGGCCGAGAGCCAGAUUAUUGCGAUGACCGGAAUCCCGGCGAGGACGGCCGCGCUCCGGUU
rnacentral:lncRNA from 1 species